GCAAGUCGAACGGUAACGGGGGAGUGCUUGCACUCCUGCUGACGAGUGGCGCACGGGUGAGUAACACGUAGAUAAUCUACCCUGGAGACUGGGAUAGCCAUUAGAAAUAGUGGGUAAUACCAGAUGAAGUAGCGGAUUGUAAAAAUGUGCUAUCAAAGAUUUAUCGCUCUGGGAUGAGUCUGCGGGCAAUUAGCUUGUUGGUAGGGUAAGAGCCUACCAAGGCAACGAUUGGUAGCUAGUCUGAGAGGAUGGUCAGCCGGACUGGGACUGAGACACGGCCCAGACUCCUACGGGGGGCAGCAAUUAGGAAUCUUGCGCAAUGGGCGAAAGCCUGACGCAGCGACGUCGCGUGAACGAUGAAGUCUUUCGGGAUGUAAAGUUCUUUUCUGAGGGAAGAAGGAUGUGACGGUACCUCAGGAAUAAGCCCCGGCUAACUACGUGCCAGCAGCCGCGGUAAUACGUAGGGGGCGAGCGUUGUCCGAAUUUACUGGGCGUAAAGCGCGCGUAGGCGGACUCUUAAGUUGGUGGUGAAAUGCCGAGGCUCAACCUCGGAACUGCCUUCAAAACUGGGAGUCUAGAGGCUUGGAGAGGGAAGUGGAAUUCCUGGUGUAGCGGUGAAAUGCGUAGAUAUCAGGAGGAACACCGAUGGCGAAGGCAGCUUCCUGGCCAUGUCCUGACGCUGAGGUGCGAAAGCUAGGGUAGUGAACGGGAUUAGAUACCCCGGUAGUCCUAGCCGUAAACGAUGGAUACUAGGUGUUAGAGGUAUCGACCCCUCUAGUGCCGAAGCAAACGCAUUAAGUAUCCCGCCUGGGGAGUACGGCCGCAAGGUUGAAACUCAAAGGAAUUGACGGGGGCCCGCACAAGCGGUGGAGCAUGUGGUUUAAUACGUCACUAACCGUAGAACCUCACCCAGGCUUGACAUCUGCUGAAAGCGCCUGAAAGGGUGGCCCCGGUAUUUUUAUAUCGCAGCAAGACAGGUGUUGCAUGGCUGUCGUCAGCUCGUGUCGUGAGAUGUUGGGUUAAGUCCCGCAACGAGCGCAACCCUCAUCCGAUGUUGCCAGCGUAAAGUCGGGAACUCUUCGGAAACUGCCCGUGCAAGCGGGAGGAAGGUGGGGAUGACGUCAAGUCAGCAUGGCCCUUACGCCUGGGGCUACACACAUGCUACAAUGGAUGUAAACAAUGGGCAGCAAGACCGCGAGGUGGAGCAAAUCUCAAAAAUACAUCCUCAGUUCGGAUUGCGGUCUGCAACUCGACUGCAUGAAGUCGGAAUCGCUAGUAACCGCAGGUCAGCUAAACUGCGGUGAAUACGUUCCCGGGCCUUGUACACACCGCCCGUCACGCCACCUGAGUUGUCUGCACCCGAAGUCGAUGGCCCAACCGCAAGGGGGGAGUCGCCGAAGGUG
rnacentral:rRNA from 1 species